rnacentral:lncRNA from 1 species
AUCCACAAUUUCCCUUUAAUGUUAAAUUAACAUUUAAAAAUGAGGGAAAUAGUUUUGUCAAUUUAAAAAUAAAAUCCAUAAGAAUUAAUAUUAUAGCAUAUUAGAUAAUACUAAAAUAUAUACAGGUACUUAUUUAAUGAAUGUGUUAAGAUAUAAAUUCAACCAAUAAAUUCUUUUUAAAGAUAAUUUAAGUGAGUGUGUGUGUGUGUGUGUGUGUGUGUGUGUGUGUGUGUGUGUGUGUGCCUGCAUGAGUUGUAUACCAUGUACAUACAGAUGCUAGCUCCACCCAGAAGAGGGUAUUAUAUUCCAUGUAGCUGGAAUUAUAGAAAGAUGAGAAACACCAAAUCAGUGUAUUAGGAACUAAACCCAGUCCUCUGUGAGACUCUCAAACAGCUCAAUUCAUUGUAAGUUGAAGUAAAAUGAAGAACAAAAUUUAUGUUUUUGAUGUUUCAGUUCAUUGAAAGAAAUAUCACAAGAAAAUCGCAUCUUAAAUCGUUCUUACAUAUACUUCAGUGUAACUAACUUAAUAAGAAAAAAUAUAAUGUUCACACAAGUUAGUGUGAUCCAAUGUAUUCACUGUGAAGCACACACUGUUCAAAAUGUCACCCUAACUGACUGCUGAGAGAAUACCCAUUUCUGUUUAUGUCAGAGGCAACAACCAUCCAGAAAAAUGAUUUUAAGUAUAUCAUAACUAUCACAAAGUGUGCUAAUUUAUUUUCAGUUUUCAUACUUGGAGAGAAUUGCUAACCACUCUAUAAAAGGAUUAAACAUCAUGUCACUUGAAAAUGUUACAUUGAUAGAAAUAGAAUUCAGAUGUAUGUAGCAUUUAAGGAUACCUUCUGAAACAUUUAGUUCAAAUCUGUAGACCAAUCCCACUUACUAAGGUCCCUAGUGUUACAGAUGAAGGGUCAGCUGAAUUACAAUCCUCUUGGGAAGAUUAAUACUAUCUCCAAAGUGUUACGUAAGUAAUGGGUAUGUAGCUUAGUGACAGAGUACUUGCAUAGUACCUGCAUGGCCCUGGGUACUACUCCCAGCAUCUCAAAAUAAUGUGUUGUCUUAAGUUUAAUUGUAAUUUCCUUGAGCCUUAUCCACACUCUAUAGAUUUUUAUUGAUAUUUAUAAGCUAACAGUAUCCUUUAUUAGAAUAAGAACAAACAUAUCAAAACAUCAAUUAUAAAGGAAGCAUAAACUUCUUUAUUCUCAACUGUUAUGCUCUUCCUUUGACUGAUUAGAAAGUUUUGGAAAGUUCUUGUAAAUAUUUAAAGGGAUUGCUUAAACCUAGCUUCCAAGAGUAAGUCUCCCUAUAUGUGGAGGCAGAACAGACACUUCAGUCCAUAAGAGACAAGACUGCUAUGACUGCUGCAAAGCAGGACACUGGGCUGGUCUGAACAGGAUGCUGGAAUACUUGAACACACACAGCUUGGAAGUGAUUGUUCUCCAAGUGAAAGUUGAUUAACAAUGCAACCCCCCUACCACCACAGCCACUUACCCUUGCUCUCUGAGACAAUGUCCACAUUGUGUUGUAAAUUGCUGAAAUCCUGGGCCUAUUGCUCCUUCCUCAUCCUCCUUCCUAAGAAAGUGGUAUUUCUCCACCAGCUAUUGGCCACACCCACUCUUGAUAGGCCCCAACAGCCUUGGACUAGCAAAGCCUACAAUUGAUAGUAAUUUGGACAGGCACAAAUUUGAGAACUGCUGCUUCCAAGCAGGGAACAAAAGAGGAAUAAGCUAAAGUGAGUAGGAUUCUAGAUCAAGAAUUUCAGUGUCACAAAUACUAGCUAGGAACUUGUAAGAGAGCUGGAGGGUGAGUCUCAGUCAGUAAAGCUGUUGAUCUGCAAACAGGACUUCAGCUCAGUCCCAAAAGCCCACAUAGAAUGAUGGGCAUGGAGGUGUGCUUAUCUUCACAGUACAAGUGAGGUACACAAAAGUGAAUCCCUGAUGCUUCCUGCACAGUCAUCGUAGGCUUCCUGGUGAGUUGAGGACAGUGAGAGACCAUAUCUCAUAAUACAAAUAAAUGGAGGCAGUAUCUCUAGAAAAAGACAAAAUGUUGACCUCUGCCUCCACAGAAGUGUACACACACAAAGGAAUCUAUGUACAACAUCCAGACACACUUCUGCCCACAAAGGAACUCUUGAGGAAGUAUAAGAUCAGAUAUCAUCUUUCUUUACCUUUUUCCUAUUUACAAAAUGUAGAUAUGAUGUAUGUAUGUAUUGUUGAAGUUAUUUGGGGUAUACAAAUAAUCGUGAUGUUAUUUUAAUAACAUACUCUGGUAGGUACAAAAUCAUGGCUGUCAAAAGUCAGCUGUUAUGAACAGCAGUAUCUAGAACCAGUAGUUUUCUUAAAUAAGAAAAUAAUUGUGUUGCAUAAACAGUUAACCUUCCCUAAGGAUUCAGUCAAGUUCUCUAUCUCCAGUUCUUUCAGAUCUGUCCUCAAACAGCAAACAUUUGGAAGGUGACUGACACAUCAGUAGGAUGGCAAAUAAUUGAUUCCUUUGUUUAAUUUCUCCAUGUUAAAAUGUUAGCCAUACCUAAGUAAACUCAUCACAAACAUUUCGUGCAAGACCUUUUAAGACUCCAGCUGAAGUGAUGAAAAUAGUGGCAAGAAAAUCUACACAAAAGAUGAUAAUGCCUCCCUUGGGGAGUCACUAAAGACUGGGAUACCAAGUUGAAGCAGGACCAAGCCCCUCCCCACGAAUCAAACUGAACAAUUUAUUCCAUUACAAGAUUUGUUUAUCCUGUAUACAAUGUUCUGCCUGCAUGCCAGAAGAAGUCAUCAGAUCUCAUUACAGAUGGUUGUGACCCACAAUGUGGUUGCUGGGAAUCAAACUCAGGACUUGGGGAAGAGUAGCCAGUGCCCUUGACUUCUAUGCCAUCUCUUCAUACCUACCACUGAGAUUUUAACUAUUUUCCCUUCCUGGUGCCCUCCAUUUAUUUCUCUCUUAGGGUCCUCAUUUUUACCUAGAUCUCCCACGUUCUUGGAGAACUAAGAUCAACAUACUAAAAUGCAAUCUACAGGUUCAAUGAAAUCUCCAUCAAAAUUCCAGCACAAUUCUUCACAGACCUCUAACAAACAAUGUUCAACUUCAUAUGGAAAAACAAACAAAAAAAAAAAAAAACAGGAUAACCAAAACAAUAUAAUAAAGGAACUUCUCGAGGCAUCACCAUCACUGACUUCAAACUCUACAAUAGAGCUAUAGUAAUGAAAACAGCUUGCUAUUGGCGUAAAAACAGACACGUGGAUCAAUAGAAUUAAAUUGAAGACCCCGACAUUAGUCGACAUACCUAUCAUACCUAUGAACACCCAGUUUUUGACAAAGAAGCCAAAGCUGUACAAUGGAAAAAAAAACCAUCUUUAACAAAUGGUACUGGCAUAACUGGAAGUCCACCUGAAGAAGAAUGCUUGUUAUUUCUUAUACACAUCGGCUUGGCAUUUUACCAUUCCUUAUUCCCUGCCUGAAUUGCUCUUGCUCAUUUAAAAUUACAUGGACUGUCGAUGUAAUUUUAUUAAGUUGCAUGUGGGAAUCUCCUAACAAACUAAAAUGAAUUUAUACCAUAGAUUUAAUUUAGUUUAUUAAAGAGAGACCAACUAAGAUGGUGAAACUUAAUUGACCCAGUAUUUAUAGAACCAAAAGAUGUCUAGGUGUUGAAGUGGUGAUGACAGAAUAAAGGAUGCACUCCAAAACAGGAACUCUGACCAGAUAAAGCAUUCUACAAGUUAACAUGGAAUGUUUGCUCCUGGUGUAUAAAUAAAAGUAGAUAGCAUCUCAAGAGAAGUUGCUUAUUCCAGGAGAAUGAAAUAAUGCACAAUUUGUAGGGUCCACUGCUGAUUUCGCAGAAUAACACACUGUAGGGACACACAGUCAUCAUUUUGCUUAUUUCUUAUCCAUCUGUCAAGGUCAAUUUCCAUGCACUCUCCACUGAAGUCUUUAUAUGCCCCCAGCUGGAAGUCAUUUCUUCAGCCAAGGAGAGCUGGUAGCACAUGUAAUAUGUUUCAAUAUGAAGUUGGUGAGUGAAUAAUUGUAUUCUGCCACUCUGGGGGCAUAUCACUCCUUGAGCAGAAAUGGCUAAUUAAGAACAUAAUUAAAUUUUAAAUUAUAGCUGGAGAAAUUACACUGCAUAAGAGAGAUAAAUUAAGAUACAUAAUGGUGCAGUUACCAGGUAUAUGUUCUUAAAAUGAGUAAAUGUGCUGUGAGAAAUAAUUGAUUUACAAAGUAUGCUUCCUUUCGACUUUAUAUUCCUCUUUUAAUCCUGAUGCUCUUUCUUUAGACUCCACAUAGUGCAGUAUUGUCUCUGCAAACACUUUUCAUGCUGCUAUUGUUCAGCAGAACUGGAACAUCAUCUCUAAAAUUGCCAUUUGAUCACUAUCCUCAUCAGACCAUGCAUUGCCUCUCUCAAAUGAAAGCAUGGGACUUUAUGGAUUCUAAGGAAGAGUUUUGUGACUUUCCAUGCAAUUAUUCCCAUGUAGAAAAAUGUAACAUUACUUUUAAAUUGGCUGAGCAUGUUGUAUGUUUUUAUCUUGUAGAAUAUGAUGCUUUGAACUGCAUGCAUAUUACAGAGUAGAUACAUACAGCCUAUUUAUGUAUUUAUUCUCACUGUUACAAAUUUUUUAUCAGAAUACCUAAUGCUCACUUUGAAUUUCCUUCCCCCAAAACACCACACUUUGUCAUCUCUAGCUCUGGUCAACUUUCUUCAUAAUGAAUGUCUUGAACUCUUUUCUUCUUAGUGUAGAAUGAUGCUGAACUGAAUAUAAGGCAUUUUCUGUGUCUAUUGACAUGGCUAUAUUAUUCUUACUCUUUAUCUGUUAAUGUGAUAUAUCUUAAGAAUUGACUUGCCUAUGUUGAAGUCUGCUGUAAUCCUUGAAAUAAAACCUACAUGUUAAUGGUUAA